rnacentral:rRNA from 1 species
CGAUGCCUGCCCAGUGAACAAUUUAACGGCCGCGGUACCCUAACCGUGCAAAGGUAGCGUAAUCAUUUGUCUAUUAAUUGUAGACCUGUAUGAAAGGCAAAACGAGGGCCUAACUGUCUCUUAUAGUGAAUCAAUUAAACUGAUCUCCCAGUCCAAAAGCUGGGAUACUAACAUAAGACCAGAAGACCCUGUGAAGCUUAAACUAAAAUAUUAAACCCCAUAAUAACUCCUUUCGGUUGGGGCGACCUUGGAAAAAAAAAGAACUUCCAAACACACUGAUUCUACAAUCAUCAACCGGUGGCCGACAAGCCUAACAACGACCCAGUGCACAGCUGAUAAUUGAACCAAGUUACUCCAGGGAUAACAGCGCUAUCUUCUUCAAGAGCCCAUAUCAAAAAGAAGGUUUACGACCUCGAUGUUGGAUCAGGACAUCCUAAUGGUGCAGCCGCUAUUAAGGGUUCGUUUGUUCAACGAUUAACAGUCCUACGUGAUCUGAG